rnacentral:lncRNA from 1 species
UUUUAACAGACAACUUUAUACAACUUCAGACUAAAUUCACAAAGGUAAUAUCCAAAGACAAUUUUAAAAGAGCCACUGUAAAUUUAUACAUCAAGUGUAUAACAUGUAUCCACAUCCAUGAUUAUGAGCUAAACAUCAAGUGUUCCAACUGAUUAACCUGCAUGCUACAAUCCAUUUUGAACAUAUACUAAAGGCCUAAAUGCCUCCAAAUCAGUUAUACCUUCAUAAGCUCGAAUACGAGCUUAACCAAACAGAUUGUCAUGUAAAACAAAAUUCUACUAGGCAAGAACUAAAUCAAAUCUGAUGAUGAGCAGAUAGUAGAAACUUAAUAUUGAUCAACAUUCAUCAUCUUGGACUACAAGAGCUCACAUUUACACUUCACAUACAAUAGAUCCAAAUCAUACCUGGAUUACAAAAACAAAAGCAGAGGUGGAUAGUUCAGCAGCAGGAUUAACCACAACAACAAAAUCACACCAGAGAUAACCACAGACAACCAACUUUGAACCAAAUUCAGGCCAGCAGAAGGAACAAGGAUACCCAAUAAUCAAAAUGCAGCCAAGUUUGAAUCAAAUACUUGAAAACCAGCAAAUUCAGAUCAUUUUAACCUCUAGAAUCUCACAAAAUUUAACAGAACAGUAAAAUUUUCAUUGUUUUUUAGCCGUCUAUGUUUCUGUAUUGGUUUUUACUUCCCAAAAAAUCCCCCUUGAAAGGCAAGAAAUGAUGCUUUUAUAGGCAAGAAAACAGGGCAGCCUCAGCUUGCACUUUGCCCCUUUGCUAAUUUUCGUUUUAGCUUAACAACCCCUAGCCAAAAAUAAUAUUUUUCACAUUAGUCCCCACCCCAGCUUCCAGGAAGCUUCCCUCAGUCAGUUAUAAAAUAUUCCCCAGCCUAGAUUACCCAAAUUAUCCCCCAAACCUUGUUAUUUACUCUCAGGACAAAGCAGGGUUAGAUCAACCCAAAACCAAUUUUAAACUUGGGCUAACAUGCAUGUUUCCUUCAAGCGAUGGACUAGUAAACAACAGACCCCAAACCCAACCCAAACAAACAAACUUAAGGGAAUUAAAAGUCCAAUUCAGAACAGCGACAACACACACAAUUAAUCCAAUUCCUUUUCUUCUUUUCUUUUAAAAAUGCUUUAGCCUGAAAUUAACACUAAGUCAUUAACUAGCAUAUCUAACUUAAUCCUACAGAAAAGGAGAAGCAACUGAUGACUAAAGAUUGAACUAAAAAAAUAGAACAAUGCAGAAAAAUACCAAGGGAACAGAAGAUACCUAUGCACCCCGUUUUAAACUUCAGAAUCCUCAAAGACGAGGCGGACCCGACAUCGAAACUCCAGCGAAUUCAAAAGCUUGACCAAAUUGCGAAAAUUGUAACACGAAUAUUAGUCGAACUCUUGUUCAUAGCUAAUAAUUCGUGCCGCAAUCCUCAUCACGAGCCAAGAAGGGAACGAGGCGGAAUCUUGAAGAAAUUGGGUCGUUUGUGGCUGAGUGUCUAAAAUCGGGUCAGAAACAAGGGAAAGGGCGCUCUUGAUAUGAAAUGGCCCCAUUUUUUAUAAAAAACUGAAGAAUUCAUGCUGGUUAUAACACGAACUGAGGAUAUAAUCCGGAAUUUUUAGGCGAAAGAAGAAAACUUGGAUUUUUAAUCUUUGAUCUGAAAUUCGAAAAAAUCCAGUGGCCUUUUGGAAAAAAUGGUGGCAGGACAUGAAAGAGGGGAUGAUGGGGGUUGUCUGGUCGAAAUUUGGAUGGAUUUGGAAGUGCUCCGCCGCCGUGAGGUGAUUUCCAGACAGCGGAGCCACGGUGGAAAGGGGUGGUGAUUUCAGAGAGGGGAUU